rnacentral:ncRNA from 1 species
UGAGACCUGAUGCCGAGCCGAUUGUGGUGAAGUGGAUGAUCCUAUGCUGUCGAGAAAAGCCUCUAGCGAGUUUCAUGGCGGCCCGUACCCUAAACCGACUCAGGUGGUCAGGUAGAGAAUACCGAGGCGUUCGGGUGAACUAUGGUUAAGGAACUCGGCAAAAUGCCCCCGUAACUUCGGGAGAAGGGGGGCCAUCACUGGUGAUGAGUCUUGCACUCUGAGCUGGGGGUGGCCGCAGAGACCAGCGAGAAGCGACUGUUUACUAAAAACACAGGUCCGUGCGAAGCCGUAAGGCGAUGUAUACGGACUGACGCCUGCCCGGUGCUGGAACGUUAAGGGGACCGGUUAGU